rnacentral:rRNA from 1 species
AUGCAUGUCUAAGCAUAAGCCGAAUAUGGUAAAGCCGCGAAUGGCUCAUUACAACAGCCAUAGUUUAUUGGAUCUGAAUAUCCUACUUGGAUACCUGUGGUAAUUCUAGAGCUAAUACACGCAAAAAAGCCCUGACCUUACGGGAAGGGCGCAUUUAUUAGAACAAAACCAAUUGGCUUCGGCCAUUCAUUGGUGACUCUGAAUAACUACGCAGAUCGCACGGUCUCGUACCGGCGACAUAUCCUUCAAGUGUCUGCCUUAUCAACUGUCGAUGGUAGUUUACAUGACUACCAUGGUUGUAACGGGUAACGGAGAAUUUGGGUUCGACUCCGGAGAGGGAGCCUGAGAAACGGCUACCACAUCCAAGGAAGGCAGCAGGCGCGCAAAUUACCCACUCUCAGCUCGAGGAGGUAGUGACGAAAAAUAACGAGACAGUUCUCUAUGAGGUCUGUCAUCGGAAUGGGUACAAUCUAAACCCUUUAACGAGGAUCAAUUGGAGGGCAAGUCUGGUGCCAGCAGCCGCGGUAAUUCCAGCUCCAAUAGCGUAUAUUAAAGUUGUUGCGGUUAAAAAGCUCGUAGUUGGAUCUGCGGUCACAGACUCCGGUCGCCCACUGGGUUGUACUGGUUGUCUUGACCUACCUUACUGGUUUUCUCUUGUUGCUCUUCAUUGAGUGGCUUGAGUGGCUAGUACGUUUACUUUGAAAAAAUUAGAGUGCUCAAUGCAGGCUUUUGCCUGAAUAGUGGUGCAUGGAAUAAUGGAAUAGGACCUCGGUUCUAUUUUGUUGGUUUUCGGAGCGCGAGGUAAUGAUUAAGAGGGACAGACGGGGGCAUCCGUACUGCUACGUUAGAGGUGAAAUUCUUGGAUCGUAGCAUGACGAACAACUGCGAAAGCAU